rnacentral:rRNA from 1 species
CUACGGGCUGCAGCAGUGAGGAAUAUUGCACAAUGGAGGAAACUCUGAUGCAGCAACGCCGCGUGGAGGAUGACGCAUUUCGGUGUGUAAACUCCUUUUAUAUGUCAAGAAAAUGACGGUAGCAUAUGAAUAAGCACCGGCUAACUCCGUGCCAGCAGCCGCGGUAAUACGGAGGGUGCAAGCGUUACUCGGAAUCACUGAGCGUAAAGGACGCGUAGGCGGGAUAUCAAGUCAGGUGUGAAAUCCUACAGCUUAACUGUAGAACUGCACUUGAAACUGGUAACCUAGAGUAUGGGAGGGGGAGAUGGAAUUAGUGGUGUAGGGGUAAAAUCCGUAGAUAUCACUAGGAAUACCUAAAGCGAAGGCGAUCUCCUGGAACAUAACUGACGCUAAGGCGUGAAAGCGUGGGGAGCAAACAGGAUUAGAUACCCCUGUAGUC